rnacentral:lncRNA from 1 species
AAACUAUCAAGAUAUCAGAACAUGAUGCUAGGGAAGGUGAGGCUAGGACCAUGUUGAAGCUGGGAGAGCACAAGGAUGCCAAGGCCCAGAGAAUUACGAGCUGGGUGAGGGGUAAAGUCUUCCUCAAUAGCCCCCUAUCCUAGCUCAGUGCUGUAUCCACUACUCUGAGUUCCAUCCACCCUGGAGAUCUCAAAAGAAAGAGCAUAAACCUGACGGGAAGACAGGUGGUGUGGUUCAGAAGCUCAUCUCCCAUCAAAAUUCAGAAGGCAGCAUCUCCCCAGCAGUGGUGCUUCAUGAACCGGCAACAUGUGGUUUCCAAGUUGGCUGUCCUUGCUGGAAGGGGUAAGAGAAUGAAGGAUUCAUGGCAGAGAUUUUUUAU